rnacentral:rRNA from 1 species
GAGUUUGAUCUUGGCUCAGGAUGAACGCUAGCGGCAGGCCUAAUACAUGCAAGUCGAACGGUAAAUAUUUAGCAAUAAAUAAUGAGAGUGACGUACGGGUGCGUAACACGUAUGCAACCUACCCGUUUACAGGAGUAUAGCUCGGGGAAACUCGAAUUAACCCUCCAUAAUAUAUUUGGAUGGCAAUCAUUCGAAUAUUAAAUCGCAAGAGGUAAAGGAUGGGCAUGCGUCUGAUUAGUUAGUUGGCGGGGUAAUGGGCCCACCAAGACGAUGAUCAGUAGGGGAACUGAGAGGUUGAUCCCCCACACUGGCACUGAGAUACGGGCCAGACUCCUACGGGAGGCA